AGACGAAGGGUGCUAGCGUUGUUCGGAAUGACUGGGCGUAAAGGGCGCGUAGGCGGUCUUUUAAGUUAGGCGUGAAAGCCCUGGGCUUAACCCAGGACAUGCGCUUAAGACUGAAAGACUUGAGUUUGGAAGAGGUAAGUGGAAUUCCUAGUGUAGAGGUGAAAUUCGUAGAUAUUAGGAAGAACACCAGUGGCGAAGGCGGCUUACUGGUCCAAUACUGACGCUGAGGCGCGAAAGUGUGGGGAGC
rnacentral:rRNA from 1 species